rnacentral:lncRNA from 1 species
UCCUCUAACCUCCACAAGUGUGCUGUGCCAUGUGAAGUCCGCACCCCCACAUGCAUGCACACACACAUACACACUCACACAUACACACACACUCACACACAUGCACAUAAAUAAAUGUAACAAAAUGUUUUCCUUUUUGAAAAUAUAUUUUUAUUGAAUUUUUGUGGAUUUCAUAAAAUGCAUCUUAAUCAUAUUUAAACCCAUACCUGUCUCUAUUGGAUGGUGAGGCCAAUAGGGGUACUUAUUCUUGUCUAAUUUGGUUUCUGGGAAGAUUUCAUUCAAAUAUUCAAUGGUCAUCUGAUCAAAAGGAAUCAUGUUCUUCAUUUUCUCAAGCUGCUUCUCAUAGUCCUGGAUCCUGACCUUUGACUCAGACAGGAACUCAGCACAAUUCUUCACCUUCUUUUCAAAAUCAUCCACCAAGCCUGCCCUGGCCACAUUGGCCUUGUAGUAAGCCCACUCGGUCUCUGGUGGUUUCUCAGACACAGCAGCCAACCUGGAGUUGAAGGUCUCAUUCCAGGACAUCAGGGAACUAUCAAUAGCUUUUUGAUUUCGGGGUAUUAUCUCCCCAAAAGCCAUCCAAUCAAUAGCUUUUAGAGCAAGUUUACGUCCAGCCAUCUUGGAAUCCUUCACCAUCCCCGACUUGUCAGUCUUGCUAGAUAUUUGUAGAUUUUGGUGAUAUUUAAAAGUAAAACAAGCUUUUUGUUUCAUUGAUCGGUUUUCCCUAUUGUUUUUUGGUUGUCAAUAACAUUGAUUGUUUGCUUCUAUUAUUUUCUGUCUUUUGCUUGUUUUGAGUUCAUUUUUUACUUUUUGUCCUUUUCCUAAGUUCUCGAAGUGGGUAGUUAUUUUACUGAUUUGAGAGUUUUCACUUCUCUGAUGUAAACAUUUAGUGUUAUAAAUUUCUCUUUCAGCUUUAUCUGGAUCUCACAUAUCUUCAUUUAAAUUCAAUUCAAUGUUUUGUUUUCUGUCUUCCUUCAGA